rnacentral:rRNA from 1 species
GACGAACGCUGGCGGCGUGCCUAAUACAUGCAAGUCGAACGCAGUGGGGACGGGUGAGUAACACGUGGGUAACCUCCCAUCAGAGGGGAUAACACUUGGAAACAGGUGCUAAACCGAUACUGAUGGAUGGACCCUCGGUGCAUUAGCUAGUUGGUGUGGUAACGGCUCACCAAGGCCACGAUGCAUAGCCGACCUGAGAGGGUGAUCGGCCACAGUGGGACUGAGACACGGACCAGAAUCCAACGGGAGGCAGCAGUAGGGAAUCUUCGGCAAUGGGCGAAAGGCUGACCGAGCCACGCCGCGUGAGUGAAGAAGGUUUUCGGAUCGUAAUACUCUGUUGUUAGAGAAACGGUAUCAAACAAGAAAGCACCGGCUAACUACGUGCCAGCAGCCGCGGUAAUUC